rnacentral:rRNA from 1 species
AAAGCUUCGGGAUCAUCGCAAGAUGAUCGGUAGAGGAGCAUUGUAUAAGCGCAGAAGCUGGAGCGAAAGCACCAGUGGAGUUUAUAGAAGAGAGAAUGCCGGUAUGAGUAACGAGAUGUAAGCGAGAAACUUACACGUCGAAAGCCCAAGGAUUCCUGGGGAAGGUUCAUCCGCCCAGGGUAAGUCGGGGCCUAAGCCGAGGACGAUAGUCGUAGGCGAUGGAAAACAGGUUGAGAUUCCUGUACCGCCCAUAUGAGUGAUGCAUUGACACAGAAGGAUAGCAUGAGCCGGUUGAUGGUAGAGCCGGUCGAAGAGCGUAGGCUGCUUGGUAGUGAAGUACGCCAGGCGUAAGGCUGAAACUUGAUAGGGAGCGAAAAUAAGUAGCGAAGCAUGCGAAUCCCCGCUGGCGAGAAAAGAUGCUGGCAAUGAUAUGGGCGCCCGUACCGCAAACCGACGCAGGUGGGCGAGAAGAGAAUCCUAAGACGAACGAGAGAACUCUUGUUAAGGAACUCGGCAAAAUGACCACGUAACUUCGGGAGAAGUGGUGCCUCGAAAGAGGCCGCAGAGAAUAGGCCCAAGCGACUGUUUAGCAAAAACACAGGUGUUUGCGAAAGCGAGAGCUAAGUAUAAGCGCUGACGCCUGCCCGGUGCUGGAAGGUUAAGAGGAGUUGUCAGGCAACGAAGCAGCGAAUCGAAGCCCCAGUAAACGGCGGCCGUAACAAUAACGGUCCUAAGGUAGCGAAAUUCCUUGUCGGGUAAGUUCCGACCCGCACGAAUGGCGUAACGACUUGGGUACUGUCUCAACAAGAGACUCGGUGAAAUUGAAGUAUGUGUGAAGAUGCACAUUACCCGCGACUGGACGGAAAGACCCCGUAGAGCUUUACUGUAGCUUAGCAUUGGAUUUCGAUAAUGGAUGUACAGGAUAGGUGGGAGACUGGGAGACUGUGGCGUCAGCUGCAGAGGAGUCGGUGUUGGGAUACCACUCUUCUGUUAUUGAAAUUCUAACAAGCAGCCGUGAACCGGCGCUUGGACCGUGCUAGGUAGGCAGUUUGACUGGGGCGGUCGCCUCCCAAAGAGUAACGGAGGCGCCCAAAGGUUCCCUCAGAAUGGAUGGAAACCAUUCGAAGAGUGCAAAGGCAGAAGGGAGCCUGACUGCGAGACGGACAGGUCGAGCAGAGAGGAAACUCGGGCUUAGUGAUCCGGCGGUAUUGAGUGGAAAAGCCGUCGCUCAACGGAUAAAAGCUACCUCCGGGAUAACAGGCUGAUCUCCCCCAAGAGUCCACAUCGACGGGGAGGUUUGGCACCUCGAUGUCGGCUCGUCGCAUCCUGGGGCUGAAGCAGGUCCCAAGGGUUUGGCUGUUCGCCAAUUAAAGCGGCACGCGAGCUGGGUUCAGAACGUCGUGAGACAGUUCGGUCCCUAUCCAUCGUGGGCGAAGGAAUCAUGAAAGGAGCUGUCCCUAGUACGAGAGGACCGGGAUGGACGCAUCACUGGUGAAACUGUUGUCGUGCCAACGGCAUAGCAGGGAAGCGAAAUGCGGACGGGAUAAACGCUGAAGGCAUCUAAGCGUGAAGCCCACCUUAAGAUAAAGAUUCCCACAGCGUAAGCUGGUAAGACCCCUUGAAGACGACAAGGUUGAUAGGUCAGCGCUGGAAGCGCGGUAACGCGUGGAGGUUGCUGAUACUAAUAGGUCGAGGGCUCG